CGCACGGAGGCGAGGUUUCUCAGUCCUCGUUGGUCUGCUCAGCCCUUCAGAACCAGACCUGCAGCUCUGUAGACACGUCAGAGGAUUUGACAUCUCUGAAUGUUUUCAAACGAGUUGUUUGGUUUUCCACAUCCAUCAGGACUUUCUUCAGCGUCUCUGGUUGGCGGUAAUUCAGAUCUUCGUUUUACCAGAUGUGGGUUUCUCUGAGGACCAGCAGGUGGGCGUGGUUUCCUCCAAAACGCCACAAACAAAGACUACUGAUCAGAAGAAGACAUCAAGUUCUCUUAUUUCUAACCAAAGGAUCCGAUCAGCUGCUUCCAUUUGGAGCCUGAAGCUCCAAAGACGACGGCGGAGGGAGGAGAAAAGGGAGCUUCUCCCUGUCGGUGGAGCGAUUGUUUCAGGGUGCAGGAAUGUGGAAAUAACUUCACCCUGAGCUGACAGGCGAGGCUGUUUUUAGGGGAGGUGGGGGUCUGGGAAGAGCAGAGGGAGGGGCUCUGCAGCUCAGGGUCAUCUGGAGCUGACGGCGCGUUCCUCUGACUCUGGUCAAACGUUAAUGAUGCUGGAAUUUAGGGAAACUUUUGGGAUGUUGUGAAAGAAAAACAGCAGAAAGAACAGGAGAGCGUUUCUGCGAACAGGAGGAGGACAUUCCUGGAAGCAGACUGAGGGUCACUGAGAGACUCCACAACAAAAGCUGAGGACAUGUGGGAGCAGCAGAGGCCCCCCCCAAAGCCUUUGCAGCGACAGCAGCUAAAGCCUCCCGGAGAAAUACGACCAACAACAGCAGCAGCUCCUGGAGGCCGACUGUAAACGUUCUGCAUGAAGAUCGUUUCAUCAGAGUCACAAAGACAGUUUCCCACGCCGAACACUGCCGCCUCUUCUGGACCCUUUUGACCGUUUAGCCUUUAAUUAAGCAUUUUUAGCUCCAUUGUUGAGGCUUUGGAAAUGAGAGAUUCCAGUUUCUGCUUUGGUCUUUUUGCAUUUCUUGAAGCCAAAGUUUGUUUCAGUUUCUUCUGCUGACGUUGAGCUGGCAUGAACUAAACGUCAGGCAGCAACGUUUCUCCUCUGGUUUUCUGCAGAAAUGCAGCAUCCGUCACAGCUCAGCCGUCCCCCGUUUGUCUUUCUAAAGAUGAGCCGCAUCAGGUGAACUCCGAGAAAGUCGGAUCACAAAUGUUUGAAGGCCGUAAAUAUCCUCACUGCACAUUUUCUCUGACAGACGGGAACAUUUUCACAUUUUUUGGUCGGUUUCAGGACGAUUUCGGUCGUAUGGAUCUAACUUACGAGCCGCAGUCCCUUUUAGGUUUCAUAGGUUUAGACUUUCUGUAUUAAGUUUGAAGUGUUGAAAGUUUAGAAAAUUUAAUUUUUUUCAGAUUUUCUAGAACACGAGCGGGGGUUCGUGACUUGGUUUCUGUUUUUUGUUUUGUUUUUUCAAAGUAAAAGCCUGUACUUUCACAUUAAGAGUAAUUUCUUGGUUCCAGCUGCUCUUCCUGUGGGUUUUACUUUG